UUUCCCAUAUGACUACCACAUUUUCUUCUAAUAAUAGACUUUAGUGGCUAUGCUUAUGGGAUAGAUUAAAGUUGCCAUGAUCUGAAGAGGGAGGAUUUUCAAGUGUUCUCCUUCUAUAUGAAAUGGCUGAACAAAAAGUC
rnacentral:snoRNA from 17 species